rnacentral:tRNA from 2 species
GGUAAAAUGGUCGAGAAAUUAGGCGAUAGACUGUAAAUCUAUAUAGGAGUAUUUAUACUCUUUUACCA